rnacentral:rRNA from 1 species
UACGUAGGGUGCAAGCGUUGUCCGGAAUUAUUGGGCGUAAAGAGCUCGUAGGCGGCUUGUCGCGUCGGAUGUGAAAGCCCGGGCUUAACCCCGGGUCUGCAUUCGAUACGGGCAGGCUAGAGUUCGGUAGGGGAGAUCGGAAUUCCUGGUGUAGCGGUGAAAUGCGCAGAUAUCAGGAGGAACACCGGUGGCGAAGGCGGGUCUCUGGGCCGAUACUGACGCUGAGGAGCGAAAGCGUGGGGAGCGAACAGG